rnacentral:tRNA from 1 species
GAGCAGCCGCCGGAAGAACGGAAAUCAUUGAUGUUGAUUAUUAUGGGCUAGAGUCCGUUGCUUA